rnacentral:rRNA from 1 species
UACAGAGGGGGCAAGCGUUGUUCGGAAUUACUGGGCGUAAAGGGCGCGUAGGCGGCCUGCUAAGUCGAACGUGAAAUCCCUGGGCUCAACCCAGGAACUGCGUCCGAUACUGGUUGGCUUGAAUCCGGGAGAGGGAUGUGGAAUUCCCGGUGUAGCGGUGAAAUGCGUAGAUAUCUGGAGGAACACCGGUGGCGAAGGCGACAUCCUGGACCGGUAUUGACGCUGAGGCCCGAAAGCCAGGGGAGCAAACGGG